UGAGGAAUAUUGGUCAAUGGACGAGAGUCUGAACCAGCCAAGUAGCGUGCAGGAUGACGGCCCUCCGGGUUGUAAACUGCUUUUAGUUGGGAAUAAAAAAGGUGACGUGUCAUCUAUUGUAUGUACCAUCAGAAAAAGGACCGGCUAAUUCCGUGCCAGCAGCCGCGGUAAUACGGAAGGUCCAGGCGUUAUCCGGAUUUAUUGGGUUUAAAGGGAGCGUAGGCGGAUUUUAAGUCAGUUGUGAAAGUUUGAGGCUCAACCUUAAAAUUGCAGUUGAAACUGGAAGUCUUGAGUGCACGCAGAGGUGCCGGAAUUCAUGGUGUAGCGGUGAAAUGCUUAGAUAUCAUGAAGAACUCCGAUCGCGAAGGCAAGUGCCUGGAGUGCUACUGACGCUGAGGCUCGAAAGUGCGGGUAUCAAACAGGAUUAGAUACCC
rnacentral:rRNA from 1 species